rnacentral:rRNA from 1 species
UGCCUACGGGGGGCAGCAGUGAGGGAUAUUGGUCAAUGGGGGAAACCCUGAACCAGCAACGCCGCGUGAGGGAAGACGGUUUUCGGAUUGUAAACCUCUGUCCUCUGUGAAGAUAAUGACGGUAGCAGAGGAGGAAGCUCCGGCUAACUACGUGCCAGCAGCCGCGGUAAUACGUAGGGAGCGAGCGUUUUCCGGAUUUAUUGGGCGUAAAGGGAACGCAGGCGGUCUUUUAAGU